rnacentral:rRNA from 1 species
AGUGAACGCUGGCGGCGUGCUUAACACAUGCAAGUCGAACGAGAACGGAUUAUAGCUUGCUAUAAUUGUCAGCUAAGUGGCGCACGGGUGAGUAAUGUAUAGGUAAUAUGCCUCUUACUAAGGGAUAACAAAUGGAAACGUUUGCUAAUACCUUAUACUCCUUAUUAACAGAAGUUAAUAAGGGAAAGAUUUAUUGUUAAGAGAUUAGCCUGUAUUGUAUCAGUUAGUUGGUGGGGUAAUGGCUUACCAAGACUAUGACACAUAACUGGUUUGAGAGGAUGAUCAGUCACACUGGAACUGAGACACGGUCCAGACUCCUACGGGAGGCAGCAGUGGGGGAAUAUUGCACAAUGGACGAAAGUCUGAUGCAGCAACGCCGCGUGGAGGAUGACACAUUUCGGUGCGUAAACUCCUUUUAUAUGAGAAGAUAAUGACGGUAUUAUAUGAAUAAGCACCGGCUAACUCCGUGCCAGCAGCCGACGG